UACGUAGGGUGCGAGCGUUAAUCGGAAUUACUGGGCGUAAAGCGUGCGCAGGCGGUUUGUUAAGACAGAUGUGAAAUCCCCGGGCUUAACCUGGGAACUGCAUUUGUGACUGGCAAGCUAGAGUAUGGCAGAGGGGGGGUAGAAUUCCACGUGUAGCAGUGAAAUGCGUAGAGAUGUGGAGGAAUACCGAUGGCGAAGGCAGCCCCCUGGGCCAAUACUGACGCUCAUGCCACGAAAGCGUGGGGAGCAAACGAGG
rnacentral:rRNA from 1 species